CGAAAUUAUCAAGAGAAAAGGGGGAGAAGAAAUUGAGAUUUCAAGUGUUAAUUUAAUCUUAUAUUCCUUUGAGGUUGAAAGCUUGAAUUUGUUGCUAUUGCGGUUAUCUUGGUUGUUAUUGUGUCGCGAAGGAGGUGGUUCUGGAAGAAGGAACUAGGUUUGCUUGUCUCGAAGAAUAAAGAACGAAGUUGCUAGGGAUUGUAGAUAGUUGGAAGGUAUCUUGGCUAUUCUCGGAAGAAUAGCAUGAUUUGGUUAGAAACCUAGUUGUCCCUCUUGACAUUGGCUCAUGGUACAUUUUGGUUGUUAUUGGCCAUAUUUUGAUAUGUUUUGUAAAUGGCCAUGUUCAUGUCUUUUGGAGUUGAUAAGGAUAGUUGGUUUGGUUGUAGCAUGUCAAAUGGGUAAUCGACCCAUAUAGUUGCGUGGUCGAUCAUGGAUCAAACUAAUUUGACAAAUAUGAAUGUUUUCGGGUUAA